rnacentral:tRNA from 11 species
GGCUGGGUAGCUCAGGCGGUAGAGCACGGCGCUGAAAACGCCGGUGUCGGCGGUUCGACUCCGCCCCCAGCCA